rnacentral:lncRNA from 1 species
CAUCUUAGUCCCCCAGGAGGCCAGAGCAUCCCUGAUCUGAGAGUGAACAGAAGGCCUGGCACCAGGCCAAGGGUCGAGGCAAAGAGGACUUCGCUCCACUUCUGUUGAGAAGUGUUCUUUGUACCCAAUGGUACAAAGACCAGGGAUUUUGGUGACACAGCAGCCCGAGCCCAGCCUGGGUGCCUAGGAUGCAGCUUAGCUGGUCAACUGUCAGUACUACCAGGACUUGGCCCUUGGAAACCUGCGGGGUGGCAGUGCUCUACCAGGAGGGGGCCAACUCGACAAAACCAGAAAGGGUGAAACGUCCUGCACCAGAGAGUUUCAGACAUCAGCGAUGGACUGGUUGAUUGGUAGUGUUUUUGCUGAGACUGAUGGUGGACUCCCCAUCUGAGAGAUCCCAGAUUCCUUCAGGUCAAAGGUCAGCAGCUACACUGGAGCUUUCCUGACCCCCAUGUCCAGAUGAGGACACAGAAGCCCCAUGAGUGGAAGGGAUUUGCCUCACGCCACAGUGAACAAGGGGAAGAGGCAGGAUCAGAACUCAGGGAGCCUGGCCGCGAGUCCUGCACUGCUCACAACAGGCUCCAGCUGCCCUCGUAUGAAGACAAGAGCUGUAAGGAUGAAGGCACACAAAAUGCCAAGUGAGAGCUCUGGCUACAGUCCCUCUCACCAUCUCCCAAGGCAAACCCUGCGGCUGUGGCCUUGGCUUUGCCAGAAACUGAUUCCAUGCUGCUCCCCCAGGGGACCUCGAAACUGCAGGUGUGCCAGGACAUUCCUGGCUGACAAGUGCGGGGUCGCAGGAGGGCUGGACGGCGUGCCUCUGUGUCCAUCAGCUCCUUGCGUGGGUGCGCUCAUGUACGGGGUUUAAUGAAUGAAAUGAUUAAAACCUGG